rnacentral:rRNA from 1 species
GAUCUGGCUCAGGACGAACGCUGGCGGCGUGCUUAACACAUGCAAGUCGAGCGGUAAGGCCCUUCGGGGUACACGAGCGGCGAACGGGUGAGUAACACGUGAGCAACCUGCCCCUGACUCCGGGAUAAGCGGUGGAAACGCCGUCUAAUACCGGAUACGACCCUCCUCCGCAUGGUGGGGGGUGGAAAGUUUUUUCGGUCGGGGAUGGGCUCGCGGCCUAUCAGCUUGUUGGUGGGGUAACGGCCUACCAAGGCGAUUACGGGUAGCCGGCCUGAGAGGGCGACCGGCCACACUGGGACUGAGACACGGCCCAGACUCCUGCGGGAGGCAGCAGUGGGGAAUAUUGCGCAAUGGGCGAAAGCCUGACGCAGCGACGCCGCGUGGGGGAUGACGGCCUUCGGGUUGUAAACCUCUUUUACCACUCACGCAGGCCCCGCGUUCUCGCGGGGUUGACGGUAGGUGGGGAAUAAGGACCGGCUAACUACGUGCCAGCAGCCGCGGUAAUACGUAGGGUCCGAGCGUUGUCCGGAAUUAUUGGGCGUAAAGAGCUCGUAGGCGGCGUGUCGCGUCUGCUGUGAAAGACCGGGGCUUAACCCCGGUUCUGCAGUGGAUACGGGCAUGCUAGAGGUAGGUAGGGGAGACUGGAAUUCCUGGUGUAGCGGUGAAAUGCGCAGAUAUCAGGAGGAACACCGGUGGCGAAGGCGGGUCUCUGGGCCUUACCUGACGCUGAGGAGCGAAAGCAUGGGGAGCGAACAGGAUUAGAUACCCUGGUAGUCCAUGCCGUAAACGUUGGGCGCUAGGUGUGGGGACUUUCCACGGUUUCCGCGCCGUAGCUAACGCAUUAAGCGCCCCGCCUGGGGAGUACGGCCGCAAGGCUAAAACUCAAAGGAAUUGACGGGGGCCCGCACAAGCGGCGGAGCAUGUUGCUUAAUUCGACGCAACGCGAAGAACCUUACCAAGGUUUGACAUCACCCGUGGACCUGUAGAGAUACAGGGUCAUUUGGUUGGCGGGUGACAGGUGGUGCAUGGCUGUCGUCAGCUCGUGUCGUGAGAUGUUGGGUUAAGUCCCGCAACGAGCGCAACCCUUGUUCCAUGUUGCCAGC